rnacentral:rRNA from 1 species
CACACAUUGUAAGCUGGCGUCUUCGGCGUCCGCAUUGUAAUCUCAAGAAGUGUUUUCCGCUUCGGACCAAGCCUAAGUCCCCUGGAAAGGGGCAUCAUAGAGGGUGAUAAUCCCGUACAUGGCUUGGAGCGCCCGAGGCUUUGUGAUACGCUUUCUAAGAGUCGAGUUGUUUGGGAAUGCAGCUCAAAAUGGGUGGUAAAUGCCAUCUAAGGCUAAAUAUUGGGGAGAGACCGAUAGCGAACAAGUACAGUGAUGGAAAGAUGAAAAGAACUUUGAAAAGAGAGUUAAACAGUACGUGAAAUUGCCAAAAGGGAAGGGUAGGAGGUCAGAGAUGCGGCCUGGGAUUCAGCCUUGCUUUUGCUUGGUGUUUUUCCCAGAUUGCAGGCCAACGUCGGUUUUGGGCACUGGAGAAGGGUAGGAGGAACGUGGCACCCCUCGGGGUGUGUUAUAGCCUCCUACUGGAUACAGCGACCGAGACCGAGGACAGCAGCGUACUCGCAAGAGCGGGCCUUCGGGCACCUUUACGCUUAGGGCGUUGGCAUAAUGGCCCUCUACCAC